UGGCUCAGUUGGUAGAGCAUGGCGAUUGCGACGCUAGAGUUGUGGGAUCGAUUCCCAC
rnacentral:tRNA from 1 species